rnacentral:rRNA from 1 species
AGUCAUACCACCCCAAAUGCACUCAAUCUCAUCUGAUCUCCGAAGCUAAGCAGGGUUGGGCCUGCUUAGUACUUGGAUGGGAGACGUACAGAAUGUUAAGGUAAUUU